UUCACCAUAAGUCUCCUUGGCAAAUCAUGCACUCUGGUGAAGCGAAAGUGGAACUGCGAACGGCUCACUAGAACGGUGAUCAUUUGAUCGUGUAGUAACGAUAACCGCGGGAAACUGUGGCUAACAACACGAGUAAAACGCCGACCCAUCAGUUUUAUCGUACGGUAAGGGCGUACGAUGGCUUUAACGGGUACGGGGGAUCGGGGUUUGAUUCCGGAGGGGGAGCCUGAGAAACGGCUACCAGGUCUAAGGACAGCAACGGGCCCUAAACUUGGCCCAUUGGAGAGAGGGAGUUUUGAAACGUAUUUUUUGGAACCGGGGUAGAAUACCCGUUAUUGAAUGGGGGGCAAGUCUGGUGCC
rnacentral:rRNA from 1 species